rnacentral:pre_miRNA from 1 species
UACAUACUCCCUCCGUUUCGAAUUACUUGUCGCAGAAUUGAAUAUAUGUAGAUGCAUUUUAGUUCUAGAUACAUCCAUUUAUGCGACGAGUAAUUUAGAACGGCGGGAGUAUGUA